rnacentral:rRNA from 1 species
AUUAGAUACCCGCGUAGUCCCAGCCGUAAACUAUGCGCGUUAGGUGUAUCGGUGACCACGAGUCACCGAGGUGCCGAAGGGAAACCGUGAAACGUGCCGCCGUGGGAAGUACGGUCGCAAGGCUAGAAACUUAAAGGAAUUGGCGGGGAGCACCACAACGGGUGGAGCCUGCGGUUUAAUUGGACUCAACGCCGGGAAGCUCACCGGAUAAGACAGCGGAAUGAUUGCCGGGCUGAAGACUCUGCAUGACUAGCUG